rnacentral:SRP_RNA from 1 species
GCUGGGCACGGUGGCACAUGCUUGUAGUCCCAGCUACUCAGGAGGCUGAGGCUGGAGGAUGUCUUGAGUCCAGGAGCUCUGAGUUGUAGUGCGCUAUGCCGAUCGGGUGUCCGCAUUAAGUUCGGCAACAAUAUGGUGACCUCCCACGAGCAGGGGACCACCACGUUGCCUAAGGAGGGGUGAACCGGCCCAGGCUGGAAACGGAGCAGGUCAAAACUCUCAUGCUGAUUAGUAGUGGGAUCACGCCUGUGAAUAGCCACCGUACUCCAGCCUGGGCAACAUAGCGAGAGCCCGUCUCU